UGUGGGAAUAUUGCACAAUAGGGGGAAAGCCUGAUGCAGCAACGCCGCGUGAGUGAUGAAGGUCUUCGGGUUGUAAAGCUCUGUCUUCUGGGACGAAAAUGACCGGACCCGAGGGGGAAGGCCCCGGUAAUUACUUGCCAGCACCCGCGGUAAUGCGUAG
rnacentral:rRNA from 1 species